rnacentral:antisense_RNA from 2 species
CUUCACCGAGCCGAGCAGCAGCGGCCGUCCGCCCUCGCGGUGCUGCCCAUAGGUGGCAAGCAGUGCCUGUGCCUC